rnacentral:rRNA from 1 species
UGCGGUGAAUACGUUCCCGGGCCUUGUACACACCGCCCGUCAAGCCAUGGAAGUUGGGUGUACCUAAAGUCGGUAACCGUAAGGAGCCGCCUAGGGUAAAACUGGUGACUGGGGCU